CUUCCAGUAGCACCUUAGAGACCAACUAAGUUUCUUAUUGGUAUGAGCUUUCGUGUGUAUGCACACUUCUUCUUCUUGCACGCACACGAAAUCUCAUACCAAUAACAAACUUAGUUGGUCUCUAAGGUGCUACUGGAAG
rnacentral:miRNA from 1 species